rnacentral:rRNA from 1 species
GGGCGAAAGCCUGACGCAGCGACACCGCGUGAGGGACGAAGGCCCUCGGGUGUAAACCUCUUUCGGCAGGGACGAAGCGAUCGUGACGGUACCUGCAGAAGAAGCUCCGGCUAACUACGUGCCAGCAGCCGCGGUAAGACGUAGGGAGCGAGUGUUGUCCGGAUUCAUUGGGCGUAAAGAGCGCGCAGGCGGCUUGGUAAGUCGGAUGUGAAAACCCGGAGCUCAACUCCGGGCGUGCAUCCGAAACUGCCCGGCUAGAGGUAAGUAGGGGAGGUCGGAAUUCCUGGUGUAGCGGUGGAAUGCGCAGAUAUCAGGAGGAACACCGGUGGCGAAGGCGGAUCUCUGGGCCUUACCUGACGCUCAGGCGCGAAAGCUAGGGGAGCGAACAGGAUUAGAUACCCUGGUAGUCCUAGCUGUAAACGUUGGGUGCUAGGUGUGGGUGGACAUCGACCCCAUCCGUGCCGAAGCUAACGCAUUAAGCACCCCGCCUGGGGAGUACGGCCGCAAGGCUA